UUCCUGGUAUCUUCUCAUUUCUCCAGCUCUGAAGACUUGACCAAUUGAAGAUCCUACAACCUGGUUAGGGCGAGGACUCCAGCGGCUGGAUCAGCCCCUUCUGCUGUCCUGCAAGGACAGCUGCUGCGCCAGCCCCCGUGCCUGCAGUCCUAGGUCUCCAGUCCCAUCUGUUAGGUGUGCAGCUCACGAACUUUCCUGGAGGCCUGUUGCUCUUGCUAGUUUCUCAAAGUGUGUCCUACUGAAAAUAUUUCCCAAACGUGAAUUUCUACACUAGAAAACCCAGGCCUCCUUGUCAUAAGAACAGCUGAGAUUUCAUUACAGAGCAGAACUGACUGGGGCGACCUGGCUGGUAAGGAGUGGUGGUGCUUCUCUGUGGUCCCAACUACUUGGAGGCUGAAGUGAGAAGACUGCUAGAGUCCAGGAGUUCAAGAGCAGCCUGGGCAAAUAAUGAGAUGCCUGUCUCAAGAAAGGAAAGAGGCAAGCGAGGAAGGAGGGAACUGCAGCCUCCCAAUGACUUCAGCAGCACACCAUAAAUGUGAGCAAAAGCCAGUCUCCUGAUUCUGCUAGCCCCAUUUGGCCUCCAACACCUGCAGUCACCUCAACCCAUCAUCCCAGUCUAACCUGCCACGCUUGGCCACUGGUCUCUGGACAAACCAGUGGACUAAAGGUAACCACACCCCGAGGGGGCGGGGUACCUUCAGCUGUGCCAUCUCGCUUUCCUCUGUUGGCAGCCACCAGGCCGGGUCCAGGGCAAGGCGGAGGUGCCCAGGGCAGGGCAUUGGAAGAGGCACUCCUUUGCUAGGGUUGCUCUCACUCCUCCGUCUGAGAGCCGCCGCCCCCCUGCUCUUUGCAUCUGAGGCAUCUAUCUCCCUUGUCUCAUGCCAGUCCCAGGCUCGGGUCCCAGCUAGGGUGCGUUCUUCUGGUGUGAUAGAAAGAAUACCAGCCCCAGGAAGGGAGGAAGGAGAAGUAGAUAAUUUGUAGGGUGACCCCGGACUACUUGGGGAAGGGAAAGAAGUCAUACAGAAAAGUGAGACAGCAGUGAUUUGGUCUGUGGACAGGGGAAGAGCCGAGGCCUGCAGGGGUCUGGGAUAGGACCCACUAACAGGAUGAUGCCAGGGUAUGGUGAGCUGGCCAGGGCCCUGGCAGCUGGCAGGGCAACUAACUCUUGGCUUUAUCUCAGCCUGUUUUCACAGAGUCACAUUAGAAAGUGCAUCCUGGUUUGAGAAGGAGAAAGAAAAAUCAGAAAAUCUUUAAAUUAAACUACAAAUUCUGGGAUUGGGGAUGUAGCUCAGUGGUAGGGCACUUGCCUAACAUAAGCGAACAAACCAAACCUAUCCUCCCACACCUGUACUCCCAGCAGAAGAAUCAUAAGGUCAAGGUGACCCUGUCUCAAAAUAAAAAAGGACUGGGAGGCAUAGCUCAGUGGUGGAACACCCCUGGGUUCAUCUCCAGUACACACCUCCAAACCCAAAGUCACCUAUAAAUCCUCUGUACUAAGUUUUGCUUGUUGCUAUUUGUUUGUUUUUGUUUUUCAGUACUGGGAUCAAACCCAGGGCCUCACCCGUGCUGGGUGGGGUAGUAUCGCUACCUCUGAGCUAUCUCCCAGCCCUUGUGUAUUUAUUUGGUACUGGGAUUGAACCCAGGGGCAUUCUACCACUAAGCUGCAAUUCUGUCCUUUUUUAUGAGACAGGAUCUUGCUUAGUUGCUGAGGCUAGCUUCAAAUUUGUGAUCCUUCUGCCUCAAUCUCUCAAGUCACUGGAAUUAUAGGUAACUUAGGGCUCUUGAUAUCCACCAUCUUUUUUGAGGGAGAAUGUGUAUUGAAUUUAGCAACUUGACUUUGCAUAGUGUUUUUUAGGUUACAAAGUUCUCUGAUAUUGCUUUUUAAAAAACAUUUAUUUUUUAGUUGUAGGUGGACACAAUACCUUUUUAUUUUACUUUAUUUUUUUAAAGACAGAGAGAAUUUUUUAAAAUUUAUAUUUUAGUUUUCGAUGAACACAACAUCUUUAUUUUAUUUUUAUGUGGUGCUGAGGAUCGAACCCAGCGCAUGCCAGGCGAGCACGUUACCGCUUGAGCCACAUCCCCAGCCCCACCUUUUUAUUUUAUUUUUAUGUGGUGUUGAGGAUCAAACCCACUGCCUCACGCAUGCUAGGUGAGAGUGCUACCCCCGAGCCACAACCCAGCCCCAUCUGAUAUUGCUUUUUUAAGGCUCAAAAAUUUCUCUGUGCUUUUGCCCAUUUCUCUUCCCAAUUCCUAAAUAUCUCUUUCCCUUCCUAGUCUGCUGGUUGACAACCAUUUUUAAAGCAGUUUUAUUGAGAUAUAAAUGAUAGGCCAUACAAUUCAUGAAUUUAAGUUGUGCAAUUCAGUGGUUUUUACUAUAUUCAAAGUUGCAUGACCUUCGCAAUAAUCACUUUUUGAAUAUUUCCUUCACCCCUAAAAGAAAUUCUGAGCUGGGUGUGGUGGCAUAUGCCUGUAAUCCCAGUCACUUAGGAGGCUGAGGCAGGAGGAUUGCAGGUUUGAAGCCAGCCUUAGCAAUUUAGCAAGGCUGUAAGCGACCUAGUGAGUCCCUUUCUCAAAAUAAAAAAUCAGAAAGGUCUUGGGAUGUGACUCAGAGUGGUACUAAAAAAUAAAAUACAAAAAUUCUGGAUCCAUUAAUAGUCACUUCCUAUCUGCCCCUAGCCUCUACCCCUGACUGUGGGCAGCCACUGAUGGCUUCUGCAUCUGUAGAUCUGCCUGUUCUGGGCUUUCUGUUUUUUGCCCUGGCUGGAACCUGGUACAUCUAGGCAAAGGCUCCACAGUAUAGCCUUUUUAUUGACUUUUUUUCUUUCCUUUGGUGGUGCUGAGGAUUGAACCCAGGGCCUUGUGCAUGAAAGGCAAGCGCUCUAUCAACUGAGCUAUAUCCCCAGCCCCUUUAUUAACGGUUUUGAGACAGAUUCUUGCUAAUAAGUUGAACUUGGAUCCUCCUGCUGAAACAGACUGAAUCUGCCCCUCCUCCCCACUUCGAACAGACUCCUCCUGCUGAGAAACACUGAAGGGCUAAGGCCCCAUGGCCAGGUGCCCAGGAAGUGAGCAGAGAUAGCCCCUGCCCUGUCUUAACAGGGCAACUGAAUCUACCUAUGUGUGACACUUGCUUCUGUGGGGCCAGUGGGGAGAAGCAAACUGAAUUCUCCCAGUUUGGUCAAACUGCAUAAAGUUCAUUUUUCCUUUUUCCAACUUGUUCUUAUUUCUGACACAGGCAAGCCAUCCAGGAUCCAGGCAGGACCCCUGGGCCAGACUGCAGGUGACACUGCCUCAGCCUCUUGGGUAGCUGGGAUUAUAGGCAUGUGCCAUCAUGCCCAGUUUCUGUUUUCUGUUUUUUUCAGCACUGGGGACUGAAUCCCGGGGUGCUUCACCACUGAACUACAUCCCCACCCCACCCCUUUUUAAAAUUUUAUUAUUAUUUUUUUAGUUGGAGUUGGACACAAUACUUUCUUUUAUUUAUUUAUUUUUAUGUGGUGCUGAGGAUUGAACUCAGUCUCUCCCAGGUGCCAGAUAAGUGCUCCACCACUGCUUUUCGUUAACAAGCACUUCAUUUCCAAGAGCUUUUCGUUUUUUAAUUUUGAGACACUGUCUAAAUUGCCGAGGCUGGCUCUGAAUUUGCGAUCCUUCCUCAGUCUCCCUAGUUGUUGGGAUUAUAGGUGAGUGCCGCUGUGACCUGCUCUUUUUUUUUUUUUUUUG
rnacentral:lncRNA from 1 species